AGAGGGUGCUUUGGGUGUUUCACCGCAUCUGAAGUAUCUUCCGUUAACUGUGUAUCGCUGUUGUCCCUUGAAAAAUGAUGCGUCGUGGAAAAAUUCCAUUCAUUUUCAGACUAUGUCGUACCAAUAACCGCAUCAGGUCCUCAAGGUUAAUAGCCUCUGGCGUAUUAGUAUAACGUAGGUAAGGGAAGUCGGCAAAAUAGACCUGUAACUUAGGGAAAAGGGUUGGCUCAAAUGGAAGGAUCGUAUUAAGGAGGGUGGCGGGCAGUUGGAUGCCUUUCGUAAGUAGGGGUUGAUGGCAACGUUGAUCUCUGUUUGCGGAGGGUGGCUGGCUGCAUAGUACUCUCAUUACUUGGUACGGUCAUUUACUUCUAACUUUGAACUGUUACUAACUAGGGGAAUCCGACUGUUUAAUAAAAACAAAGCAUUGAGAAGUUUUUUUGGAUUGAAAGUGUCUUUAACUCAAUGUGAUUUCUGCCCAGUGCUCUGAAUGUCAAUGUGAAGAGAUUCGACCAAGCGCGGGUUAACGGCGGGAGUAACUAUGACUCUCUUAAGGUAGCCAAAUGCCUCGUCAUCUAAUUAGUGACGUGCAUGAAUGGAUUAACGAGAUUCCUACUGUCCCUAUCUACUAGCUAGUGAAACCACAGUCCGGGGAACGGGCCGGAUAAAAUAGACAGCGGGGAAAGAAGACCCUAUUGAGCUUGACUCUAGUUUGUAUUUGUGACGUGAUAUUGGGGGUGUAGCAUAAGUGGGAGAUGCAAAUCGACAAUGAAAUACCACUACCGCAAUCAUUGCUUUACUAAGAAGAUGAUAUGAAAGGGGAUUAUGCAAGUUUUUUCAUUUAUAAGUGUUAUCAUAAUGGUGAUGAAGGUUAUUGUGAUAGGUAAUAGUUAUUCUUAAGUUUUCGGAGUGAAGGAGAAAUAAUAAUAGUAAUAUUUUUAUUUCUCUCUUUUAUCAUUCCACUUAAGAAUAUUCUAUUAUUUGUAGCAGUGAUCCACUCUCACUAUUAAUUCUUUCUUAUUUUCAAUAUUUUCAGAUGGGGAGUUUGGCUGGGGCGGCACAUUUGUGAAAUGAUAGCGCAAGUGUCCAAAGGUGUACUCAAAAAGGACAGAAACCUUUUGUAGAGGAAAAGGCUAAACAGUACACUUGAUUGUGAUGUUCAGUACAUAUGACAACUAUGAAAGUAUGGCCUAUCGAUCCUUUAGAGGGGUAAGCGUAAGCGAUUUAUAACCCUGUAUAUAACCAUUGUUUUUAUUCUAGAGGUGUCAGAAAAGUUACCAUAGGGAUAACUGGCUUGUGGCGGCCAAGAGUUCAGAUCGACGUCGCUUUUUGAUCCUUCGAUGUCGGCUCUUCCUAUCAUUAUCAAGCAGAAUUGAUAAAGCGUUGGAUUGUUCACCCAUUAAAAGGGAACGUGAGCUGGGUUUAGACCGUCGUGAGACAGGUUAGUUUUACCCUACUG
rnacentral:rRNA from 1 species